AGGUCAUCUUAGCCUGCCAUCUUGGCCUGAUUGCUGUUAUUGGAUAUUAUGAACAAGAACUUUACACGUGCUGUCCCCUCUGCUUGGGAAGCUUAUUCUUCUCCCACAUACAUGUGGACAUUCGUGCUUCAUUCAGACCAAAAUGCAGAUGAUUCGCGGCUCAGUGUGGACCACGCCAGAGUCCAAUGGCCAAUGAUGGCGUAUGACGUCCAAUGGCAGAGCAAAUGAUGGAAGGGAUCUCUCCCUGAAUGAUCUCACAAAGCACAACUGCCUAAUUAUCCAAAACUAACUGAACUGUUUCAUGAGAGAAAUGCACUUACUUGUGUCUUUUUGUUAUAACUAUCCUAAAUUAGCUUUCACCUUAAUUAAUACAAUAUUUGAAUUAGUACUACCAGAUGACCAAGAAUGUAGAAGCAGAGAAGUAGGAACUGAGGUUGACAAUAUAGUAAGAAAUCCAGACUUUUAAGAGGCUCAAAUGUCAUUAAAAAUAUUCUGAAGGCAAAUAAAAUCAAAAGUGAAAAACAGUUUUAACUAUGAAAAAAACGUUUUUUUUUCGGUUGUAAUUUGCUUCAAAUGGCAUAAGAUGCCUGGUAGAGAGGUCAAAUGAUAGCUCAGAUACAGGAUGGCACCCUGAAGUAUUCACCAUGAACCAGGCGGGCAAGAACAUUACAUCUUGCCAGUUCCCACAGAAAAUACCAAUAUCUUAUGUUGACAUGCUCUAGCUGAACUUCUAAUUCUUGGAAAACUAACUUUUAGCACAGUGAAAGGGAGAAGCCAUCCAUGGAUAAUGUGGUAACUAGUAUAAUUUUGCCUAAUCUAAUAAUUCCAACAGUAAUCCAACUUAGAGACUGGGAUGUUCAGUUCCUAAAGUUCUGGCUUUUACCAUACAGUGGACUGUCAUUGUCUGGCUUUUUGGUAUGUGAAGAAAUCAACUCCAGGUAUUAGUCAGGUAGUGAUAAUUUGCAGUUUCACUCAAGUGAGGGCAGAGUUAAAACUUUACUUCUUGCACAUUCUCCUACACUGUUUUCUUUGUGGUCCUCUACAAACAAGAAUAGUGGAAAAAACAAGGGGGAGUGAACCUACCGAUAAGUGGAUGUAUAGAGAAUCCCAAAUUAUCACUUCUUUUUUUAAAAAAUGACAAAUUAAAGCUAGGAAAGUAUAUAGAACUAUUUACAGCAAAAUUUGUUUUCUGUUUUCCUCCCAAUCUGUCAAUUUCCCUCUCCAUAUUUAGAAAUUUCUAAGAUAAGGUGGCCAGUCAUCCUAAUUUACCCAGGACAAAGGGAUUUCGGUGCAGUCAGAGCUUUCAGUGCUAAAACCAGGCAAGUUCCAGGGAAAAGGUGAGGAAUUGUUCACUCUAUUCUAGGGCGGGGAGAAGGAGAGCAAUGUGAUACAUUGAGAGCAUUGAGAAUGUCUACAUUUACAAUAAUCUCAUUUUUAAGUGUAUUUCAGUCAUAAAGCCUUUGUUUACCCUUGUAAUCUGAGCUUUGUGACACUGAGGCUGGGACUCCGAAGACUGCAUUUUUUCUUUGUCACCCAAUUCCCUUUGUCACUAGCGGGGAACUACAGAAGAAAGGAUAUUGAAACAGGUAGAGAGAAGAGAUAUACUCCCUUCUAUUUAUUAGUGCUAUUGUCAAUAUAGCCCAAGCAAUGAUCUUUCACCUGGGUAACAAUAGCUGGUUCCAGGUUUUGAUACUUUUAAAACGAACUUCAUUGUGUUCUCUCACGUGUAUCCACACAUGCUGGACAACACUAUCUAUCUCAUCAAUUUUAGCCCCAACCCUCUAGGGCCCUUCCUUGGAGCUCUUAACUUACUAGCAUCAAGCAGUGCAGCAACCCUUCCUCAGAGGUUUGAGUGCAAGCUCUUUCUGGCCCCUCCCAUAAGCUUCUAGAUUCUGAUCAUUCUGCUUUCUACAGCUAGUAGCUGCUUCCUAUAGUUUCUGUCUUUGCAUUACCUCAGUGUUCCUUUUUGCCUUAUGAGUCCUCCACACGUGAAACUAAUCACUAUAUUAAAUUCUCUUCUGAAGUAUGUAGCGUAGUUUCUAUUUCACUGCCCAAACCUUGACUGAUGCAAGCAGUUAUUUAAAAUUAAAAUAAAAACUUUUAUAAGAAAUGUUAUUAAAAGAUUUCAUACCUAAAAUAUCAAUAAAAUAUUUAAUAGUUACAAAGCAACUGACUUUUAGCUACGAUUGUUUAUUGUAUCAGGUUUCUCCCAAAUAUGAUUAUAAUUUCCUAAUUAAUAACUAUGAGAUCCUAGUGUAGGAAAGUCUAGUUGUAAACUUCAAUAUCUCAUCAGAUAUUUGCAUAAGGAAUUGAAGUAACUUUAUCCUUUUAGCUGACUAAUAUAAAUGUAUUUG
rnacentral:lncRNA from 1 species